GUUCAGUUACUGUAACCACAGAAAUAACCAAAUUUCCUUGUAUAAAAGUGCUAACCCAAGUAGAAUAAAAAUUGACUACCAAGAAAAUACUUUGGCAGAUUUGCAUGCUAAAUCAGCUGAUAUUAAAAUUGUUUAGAUACACAAUUUGAACGAACUCCAUGGUCUAAGUCAAAUUACCUAUUAUAACCCAUCAGUUGUCAGUGCUAUGCACCUAAAUUGGAGAAACAACUGGUAUUCAAGAGGACAUAAGUCCAAUGGUAAGCAUGGACUCACAGAGAACCAGGACGGCAAGCUUGCCCUUCCUGAGUUCUUAAAGCUUUUGUUAUUAAAGGUUAUGCAUUCCGUGACUCAUCAGAGACAAGAUAAAACGAUCUAAAUUAAAUAUAUAUUGGUGUGUUGACUUAUACAUCGCUAAAGUAGUUUAUAACCAAUGUUUUGUUUGUCAAAUCCAUAUUCCUGGGAAGACAAUCAAAGCUUCAGGUACAUUUGGUUACCUCAUGGGCCAUUAAUCAUUUCAAUUGUCAUUUUCAAUGCAUGCUUUCUGGUUGUACAAAAGCUUUCCUAUGUAAGAGGGCUGAUGUUAUAACAGUAGAUUACUAUGCUACAGUGUAUUUUCACCAGGUAAAGAAAGCUUUUUAUUGUUCACUGAGGACAGUCAACCCCUUUACAAUCUAGAACCCAAAGACUGGAUCUUAUGAGAACAUCUACUGUAAAAUUAUAGUUACACAACAGACUUUAAAUCCUAUUGUGAAAGUUAUGAUAGAAUUGGCUGAACAGAGAAGUAUCUGGGCAGCUGCUGGCACUUGUGGCCUAUGGAGAAAUACAUCAAAUGAAGAUUAUAGAGAUUUAGUUGCAGGAAUUAACAGAGAGGUUUCUUAGUUAAGUCAGUAUAUUCUUUAGCGCAUUCUUUGAUCUAUUUAAUUUUAGGUAGUUUGGUUUAUGGGGACCCUGGGUACAAAGUAUGCUCCAAACUCUUGGUAUUAUGCUCCCAGUAGUCAUAAUAAUAAUCUCCUUGUUGCCCUGUAGUCUCUCAAAGGCUUUACAUGCUUGGAUGCAGCUGUCUCUACAAUGUCAAAUGGUCUCUCUUCAACUGGAAUGACAAGAGCUGAAAGAAAUGUGCAACCAUGAGGAUACCAUAACCUAUGAAUGACGUGGUGAGACUGGAAACCCAAAAUGAUGAGACCAUCAAGCUUCAGAAGAUCAUGUGACAAGGUUUCUAGUCAGUUCUAGGUGAAAACACCACCCCUGGCCAUCAACACGCCACCCUGUCUCCACUAGACAGAGUAGGGUGAGAGUUCCACGAUCUCUAAUAGGUAGGGACUAUGCACCAAGUUGGCAUGAAGCUGUUACAAUUCCUCAUGUCUCUUAGCGGCGCGAUGAGGCAGGAAAAUAGGGUCUGGAGGCAGGGAACCUAAGGGUUCACCCUGACUUCCUAGAACUAAAUCAAAAGGAAAACCCCCAACUUUCCACACCUAAGUAACAAAAGAACCAGACACUACUCCCUUCGCAACCCCAACUCCCCACUUUCUGCUUGGCAGAUGGAAAAUUGAAAGUACCUCUGAUUGGCUUUCUGCAACCAAUCAGACGUUUGCAUAGGAGUGUAACUUUGCAACUUCACUUCAGCCUCUGAUUGGUUGUGGAAAGCAUCCAGUCAGACUGAUUGUGGGGUCAAGUCUUCUUUUGCAUAGGAGUGCAACUUUGUAACUUCACUUUAGCCUCUGAUUGGUUGUUUUCUGCAUAAGAGUGUAACCUUUGUAACUUCACUUCAGCCUCUGAUUGGUUGCUUUCCAUAACCAAUCAGACUGAUUAUGGGCCACCACUCAUUUACAUGGGGUGAACACCAAGUGGCCUAUGGGAAACCUCUAGCUGGUAUUUGAACCCCAGAAGAUUCUGCAAACAGGGGCUUUUGAGCCCCUAUGCUCAGGCCUGCUCCCAUUACUGUGGAAUGUACUUUCGUUUUCAAUAAAUACCUGCUUUUAUUGCUUCA